rnacentral:rRNA from 1 species
GACAGAGGGUGCAAACGUUGUUCGGAAUUACUGGGCGUAAAGCGCGUGUAGGUGGCGAGGCAAGUCGGGUGUGAAAGCCCUGGGCUCAACCCAGGAAGUGCACUCGAUACUGCCUAGCUAGAGUCCCGGAGAGGUUGGUGGAACUCUCGGUGUAGAGGUGAAAUUCGUAGAUAUCGAGAAGAACACCGGUGGCGAAGGCGGCCAACUGGACGGUGACUGACACUGAGACGCGAAAGCGUGGGGAGCAAACAGGG